AGAGUUUGAUCCUGGCUCAGGGUGAACGCUAGCUACAGGCUUAACACAUGCAAGUCGAGGGGAAACGACAUCGAAAGCUUGCUUUUGAUGGGCGUCGACCGGCGCACGGGUGAGUAACGCGUAUCCAACCUGCCCACCACUUGGGGAUAACCUUGCGAAAGUAAGACUAAUACCCAAUGAUAUCUCUAGAAGACAUCUGAAAGAGAUUAAAGAUUUAUCGGUGAAGGAUGGGGAUGCGUCUGAUUAGCUUGUUGGCGGGGUAACGGCCCACAAGGCGACGAUCAGUAGGGGUUCUGAGAGGAAGGUCCCCCAGUUGGAACUGAGACACGGUCCAAACUCCUACGGGAGGCA
rnacentral:rRNA from 1 species